rnacentral:lncRNA from 1 species
GUACAUAUAGUAGGAUCUCCCAUACUCUCGAAAGGUACUUGGGUAUGCUUAAUAGAGGAUGUAGAUAAAAUUAUUUCUCAUGAAAGAUAGAAAACAUAGAGAUGAUCCCAAAACCUAUAACGAGAUGAUGUAAGACAUCGACUCCAAGAAAGGAUGUGAAUUAGCUUUUCUGACUAGAUAUCUUUUGAAGAUUUCUAUAUGGAGUAGCUCAUAGAUUUCACUUCUUAUAAUAGGAGAUCAUAAAGUCUACAAUACUCUUGGAGUUAGAAUAUUC